rnacentral:rRNA from 1 species
AACGAACGCUGGCGGCAGGCUUAACACAUGCAAGUCGAACGCGUGUAGCAAUACACGAGUGGCGCACGGGUGAGUAACACGUGGAUAUCUGCCUUUUGGUUCGGAAUAACCCUGGGAAACUAGGGCUAAUACCGAAUGGUUCCUACGGGAUAAAGAUUUAUCGCCAAAAGAUGAGUCCGCGUCCGAUUAGCUAGUUGGUGAGGUAACGGCUCACCAAGGCGACGAUCGGUAGCUGGCUGAGAGGACGAUCAGCCACACUGGGACUGAGACACGGCCCAGACUCCUACGGGAGGCAGCAGUGGGGAAUAUUGGACAAUGGGGGCAACCCUGAUCCAGCCAUGCCGCGUGAGUGAUGAAGGCCUC